rnacentral:lncRNA from 1 species
UCCACCAAGUCCAAUGUGCCUCCCUUUUUUGCUUUGAAUAAAUUUAGAAAUGCAUUUUUGUUGAAUCACCUACGUGCGAAAAAUAAUAUAUAAGAAAAUAAAACAUUUGAAUAAUUUGAAAUAGUAAAAUAAUUUAAAACAUACAUCUUCAUCCGUUGUUGGACGUAAUUCUUGAAUUUCAUCACUUUUGUAAUAUUCAGACAAGUUUCUCUAUAAAAUAAGUAAUAAGCUAUGAGUAGAUCAAUAAACUACUAUUUAUGAACAUUAUAAAAUAAACUAAGACUUACAACGACUUCGUUGUCAGUACCAGAAGAACGAAUCAAUACAUUGAUUCGUGAUGCCUCAAUGCCUUCGUUUUGCAGAUUUUCUCUUAUUGCACUGAAAGGAAUUGACCCUGUUUUAUGGUUUAGUAUCUUCUUACUCCGGUUUGUUUUGUUUAUUUUUUAUUUUCUU